rnacentral:lncRNA from 1 species
AAUCAGAGUUUGCUUUGAAAAUGCCUGAUGAGUAAAAGGAUGCUGAGUGCGGUCAAUUUUCCUCUCGCCUUCUCUGCCACUAACUCAGACGUGACUUCUGGCACUGCUUUAAGCAGUUGUAGCAGGAUGGCUGAUAAAAUUAUGGAAAUAGGGAAGAAUCUCAGAAAAGUGGAAAACUCAAUUGUCACCUUGACUAUGGAUGAAGAAGAAACUGAAGUUCGGGCUGAAAAAUGGGUGGAGUGUCCAAGAUGGGUGCCUUUAAAACAGGUAGUCUGUUACCUUGCCAGAUCUUUAGCUGGUAGUUCUCCAAUGUGGGUACAGCUUUAUUUCCUGACAGCUAAUGAUUCAGGAUGUUCACUGUCACGUUGGCCAGUAUGUUCAGUUUGUUACAUGAGUGUAUGUCUUCUCUUUGCUUAAAUCAUGUAUUAUGCCAGCUGAUGGUAAAAGUGAGGUAAAUUGAAUACGGUGUUGUGUAGUUACUCAUUUCCACAGUCAAAACAUUUGUGAGCAACUGUCUUGUCUGCUUUCAUUUAAGCUGUGAUUAUACUUCAGAAGUUAGAAAAAAUACAAGGGGGGUACAAUUUCUAGUAUGUUUAUCCUAAACUUGGAACUUGAAUGUAAGUAUAAAUUGUGGUAGUUCUGUUCAUGCUGAGUAGUAUCUUAUUCUAAGCUGCAAGAUGCUACCUAAUGCAAGCAAUAGCUUAAUAUUCUGCUUCACUACUGAUUUUGUUUUAAGUUUGAAAGUUAUAUGAAGAAAAGCUACACACUGAUCCUAUAAUUACUGAAAUAGUUAAUUACCUUGAAAUACGCAAUACAUUCAUUCUUCUUUAUUCUAAGUAGUGUAUAUAUAUGUGUGUGUAUAUAUAUACACUAGGCAGCAAUUAUUGUUAGCUUACAAUUUGUUAAUUUUGUGUAUGCUUUAUUUUAUAUACCAUUUUUACUCACUGCUCAAGGUAAACAGUGGAAACAUUUUGCAUACUUCCCUCCCAAGAUUUUUAUUUUAAUUUAUCAUUUUUUCCUUUAUUACCAGUCAGUCUGGUAUCAUAUGCAUAGCAAGCUGUAACUCUGAUGAGCUAUGUCAAAGCCUCACGGUGCUAGAUCCUAUCUUCAUGACAUUAUUGGAACUAAUGCACUCCAGAAAUAAUUGUGAGGAGUUAAAAAUGCUAUCCAGGAAGACACUGUGACAUGCAGCUAUCUAAAGAAAUUUAUCUUCAGUAAUAAAAAGAGUAAAAGCAUUUAUUAAAUUUGAUGA